AUUGAACGCUGGCGGCAGGCCUAACACAUGCAAGUCGAACGAGUGGCGGACGGGUGAGUAAUGUCUGGGAAACUGCCCGAUGGAGGGGGGUAACUACUGGAAACGGGAGCUAAUAUCGCAUUCCAUCGUAUGGGCCUAGAUGGGAUUAGCUAGUGGGGGGGGUAACGGCUCACCUAGGCGACGAUCCCUAGCUGGUCUGAGAGGAUGACCAGCCACACUGGAACUGAGACACGGUCCAGACUCCUACGGGAGGCAGCAGUGGGGAAUAUUGCACAAUGGGCGCAAGCCUGAUGCAGCCAUGCCGCGUGUAUGAAGAAGGCCUUCGGGUUGUAAAGCACUUUCAUCGAGGAGGCGGUACUCGCAGAGGAAGCACCGGCUAACUCCGUGCCAGCAGCCGCGGUAAUAC
rnacentral:rRNA from 1 species